AUUUUCUCUUUAACAUAUUUACUAUUGCUCUUUAAUAAAGCAAAAUUAUUUCUUAUCCGUUUACUCGAUUAAUCGAUGGAAUGAUUGGUAGAAUACUCGAUUACUAAAAGAAUCGGAAGCUGCAGCCCUGAUGCGAAGCAGGGACGGAUGCCACCCUUUAAUUUACCGCUCAGCUUCCAGGGGAACACGACUGUACUGAACCUUGGAGUUUAGCUACACUUGAUCAAAUGAAUGUAUGAGGUCGAUACUCCAGAGCCGGGCAGAGUCAACAUGGCAGACACCAGAUAUGAUUACCACCACUAGCUGGAAGAUGCUGUAGAUGAGGGGGAAUGCAAACAUGACCUCCAACUCAGCAGGUCUGAAGGACAGCUGGACAAUGGUGCUGCACAGCUGGGAGUUCUGGAAACCUGUCUCCAAUGCGAUGGUUCGACAUCUGAACAGAGCAGGGAAUAAUAAACAACCUCAUAACCAGUAGCAGAUAAUGUUGGAGCCGGAACCACCAGGACAGCAGCCCAUAAUGAUGAUGACAACAGCCUGCACAGGUAGCACGCCGAAGGCCAGGGACAAGGCAAAAGCUGUGAGAGGCAUGAUGCCAAACUGGCAGAGGAAGCCGAUGAAGAUGCCCCAGGGUUUCUUGAUGUGGCCCCACAGCUGUUCGAUAUCCACAGUGCAACCCAUGGCGAACAUGACCAUAGCAAGCAUUAUGGUGAGCACUGUGCUCAACACCAGGCCCAGUGCUGCAUUGAAGUUACUGUCAAGAACAAGGCAGUUUGCGCCUGAACAGAUUGUGGCAAGAGAGUCGCAGGCAUUAGGCACCGCAGUUGUUGCCUUGAACACGGACAUUGUGGACAAUGUAAUGGGAGAAGGGAACAAUAAUCAGUGGCUCCCAAGAUAAAUGAAGACUGGAGGAGAGCUUCCUCAGAGCUUGUAAUUCUUAGAUUCCACGGGACGACUCCAGCUUCUCCUUCUCCGAUAUCCGAGAAGAUUAUGGCGACAGUGAGAAGAACUGUCCAGCUCACUGCUCUUUAUGCCUACCCGGCUACAGCCAAAUAAAAUUGGGAGGGAAAAUCAGGUGAAGAAAAAUAAAUCAAAAAUUAACCCAUACUUUGUUUUAUGGGGUCAGUGUUCAGAACAUGCAUAUAAAAAGAGAAUCACUCUGAAAUGUGAAAUGUGAUUGCACCACUGCUCCAACUUUUAUUGCCCUUUGGCCUCUUAAAACUUUAUUGGACAGCUAUGCUAUGCAGCAUCAUCAUCCUACAAUGCCAGUAAGGAGGGAAGAUGCUUGCCAUUCUCAAAGGCAGGGCACACCCUGUAUGCACAAGGUAUUCUUGCACAGUGCCUAUAAAAUUACCCCCCUUGGCCUCUUUUUUAAAAUCGUUUUUUAAACAUUAAAUCACACAGUGGAUGGAUUUUCUGACACUGUUCAAUAGAAAAAAAGUAUUUGAUCUAAAUUUAGUUAAAUAUGAAACAAAAUAAAUGAUUGUUAAAAUAUACUCUGACACAAUAGCUGGUUAGUCAUUUUCCUGGCAAAAAGAAAGUAAAAAGAACAUUCCAAAACAUUCUCGACAUGGUUAUAAUAUUGAGAAUAAUGUUCAUCUGCAAUUAUGGGAAGGAUUCAUGAAAAUUCCCAAGGCACUGAACAUAUCCCUCAGAGUACAGAAAGGUCAAUCGGGGCACAUCUGUAAUUGUGCAAAAAUGUGUGCGUGUGAGAAGACACUGACUGAGUUACAGGGUUCAAGGGUUGAGAUUGAAGACGUGGUGAUUCACCAGUCACUGCUUAUUUGCUUUUUUAUUUAAAUCCAAGUGUGUUUUGGUGAAAAUUGCUAAAACAAAUUCUCUUAGUCUUACUGAAAAACAAUUCUAAUGUCCUGUAAAGGGCAAGUCCGAGUCCAGACUUUGAUUAAAUCCAGAAUUUAGGGUAACAUUUUCUGUUAACUUGCUUAGUUUUGGGAAGAAGAACAGGUAACAGUUACAGUGUCAGUUAUUUUGUAUGUCAUAUUAGAAUUAUAAUAAUAAUUCAGAUCCAUUGGUAGAGAUUUGUUUCCAUUUUGACAUUUAAGUCUUUUUGGUUUUCAAGUGUCAAAAAAUCAUAAUUACAUCCACCCUAAUUCAAUGUUGUGAAACUAUAAACACAAAAAAUAAACAUUAAAGUCUGCCCAAAGUCAAGGAGUGCACGAGAGUUACAAAUAACUGCAAACA